rnacentral:misc_RNA from 1 species
UGAAAAUCACUUCAAAGAGCUCUCAAUUUCGGAAAAACUCAAGUUCCAGUCUCUCCCCUCCUUUUCUCUCACAAAUUAUGCAAUGCAUAAACCUUGACCUCCUGUACUCGCUUCCAUGAAUAUGAACACUUCAUAUUACUAGGCAAAAGAAAUAAAGUUAAAAGCAAAACAAAAAGAACUAUUCUCCUCCCAAUUUGUAUGCUUAUAAUCAAAUCCUUGUCUUAAAUUGGGCCAGUGCAGCCAUGGUAUUCAAAGUUCUUGGCAGACUGAAUUUUAUCCAGCCAUGGAUGUUGCUUGAGAUCUUUCCCUUUAUCAGGAAGAUAGCAUGGAGUGACUUGGAGUUACGUGCAACGAUUCUACUCAGCCUUCUCUGUCAAGUAGUCCUCAUUCUGUUUGGCAACCGAAGAAAAUACAUAGCCGGAAAAUGGAUCAAAAUCUUGCUUUGGCUUGCUUACAUGUCUGCAGACUGGGCUGCUACUGUUUCACUUAGUGUCAUUUCCAGAAGCUACUCAGAUUGUACAAUGGAUAUAAGCUCUGUGAUGAUGGCAUUUUGGGCACCCUUUCUUCUUCUCCAUCUGGGUGGUCCAGACACAAUCACUGCAUUGUCUUUGGAAGACAAUGAACUGUGGCUAAGGCAUUCACUUGGUUUAGCUGUCCAGCUCUACUUGGCAUGUCAAAUCAUUCGCAGAUCCUGGAUCGGCACCCCACUUAAUGUUCUAGCAAUCCUAGUUCUCUUUGUAGGAGUAAUCAAGUAUGGGGAGAGAACUUGGAUUUUGUGGUCUGUAAGUAGUGAACAGUUCAGGGACUCCAUGCUUCGUGAUCCGGAUCCUGGUCCGAACUACGCCAAAUUUAUGGAUGAGCACAGCUCAAAACAGGCAGAGGGUUAUGAGGUUUCCGUCGAACCACUAAUUGAAGCUCCUGCAGAAGUGGAGUUUGUUCCAAAUGCGCCAAAGAACAGUAACAUUCCUAAUGCAACCAUAUUGAAUACUGCCCAUCAUUUCUUUGUCAAUUUCAAGCCUUUGUUUGCAGAUCUCAUUCUUAGUUACCUGGAUCGAAAAAAUAGUCAAUCCUUCUUCCAAGGCUGCACGUGGGAAGAAGCUUUCGAUGUGAUUGGAUAUGAACUCGGGUUUAUGUUUGAUACUCUCUAUACCAAGGCAAUUGUGAUUUAUACCUACACAGGCAGCUUUCUUCGUUUCUUCAAUUUAUCCUUCACCAGUUUUAUAUUUGUAGCAUUCUUGGUUGUUGAUAAGCAAUCUACUUCACCUGUUGACUUGAGUAUUAGUUACUUGUUAAUGGUUGGAGCUAUAGUCUUAGAAUUGUAUGCAACAAGCACUCUGCUUUUCUCUGAUUGGACAAUGCUUUGGUUGAGUAGACACAUGAAUUCGCUGGUUGAUCUCACUUACCAAGGCAUCUCUUGGUUUCAGUCAUGGCUUCAACGAUUUCAUUUGGUGCCUACGAAUGAGAAAUGGUCUAAUUCCUUGGCAGGAUACAAUUUAAUAAGUUUUUGCCUGAUUAAAAGGCCGGCUAAAUGCAGUAAAGUGUACAAGUUCUGCAUUGAUAUGUUGCAGAGCUAUCAACAUUCAAAUUUACAGGUCAUACAAAAUGAUCUAAAGAUGUUUAUAUUUAACCAUCUGUGGAGAAAAUCAAAGCAAGCAUCAGAUUUCAUUCAGGGUUGUAAGCAGGCAUCAGAUAUCAUGGAAUAUUGUAAGCGAUUAUGUGCUCAAAGGGGAGAUCAAGUACUUCAAGAAAGGAGAUGUUUUUAUGAAAUUGGGUGGAGUGUGGAGGUGGAAUUUGAUCAGAGCAUUCUUCUAUGGCA